CCUACGGGUGGCAGCAGUGGGGAAUAUUGCACAAUGGGGGAAACCCUGAUGCAGCGACGCCGCGUGAGUGAUGAAGUAUUUCGGUAUGUAAAGCUCUAUCAGCAGGGAAGAAAAUGACGGUACCUGACUAAGAAGCCCCGGCUAACUACGUGCCAGCAGCCGCGGUAAUACGUAGGGGGCAAGCGUUAUCCGGAUUUACUGGGUGUAAAGGGAGCGUAGACGGCAGCACAAGUCUGGAGUGAAAGGCCGGGGCUUAACCCCGGAACUGCAUUUGAAACUGUGAAGCUAGAGUGCAGGAGAGGUAAGUGGAAUUCCUAGUGUAGCGGUGAAAUGCGUAGAUAUUAGGAGGAACACCAGUGGCGAAGGCGGCUUACUGGACUGUAACUGACGUUGAGGCUCGAAAGCGUGGGGAGCAAACAGGAUUAGAUACCCGGGUAGUC
rnacentral:rRNA from 1 species